ACUAAACUACGACGUUUUCUUCUUUGAUCAAAGCUUUCUUCUUCGUUCUCGUCGCCAUCACUCAAGGAGUCGAGGGUUUCAGUCUUCGUUCUCGUUGUCAUCAAUCGAUCUCAGUCGCCAUUGAUCGAGGAGUCGAGGGUUUCAAUCGAUCUCGUCGACGAGGGCUUUAACAUCUCAGAUUCUCAGUCGGUGGGUUUCAACAUCUUAGAUUCUCAGUCGGUGGGUUUCAAUCAACUUCGAGAUCGAGCAAUCUCCGGCGUGAGCUCUCUGUCCUCAGACUCGACCUCUCUCUUAUCUCCUCCGAUUUGGGUUUCAAGCAUUGUUGAGGUUCGGAUUCCAAGGAGGAUGCUUGGGGUGGGUCUAACCUCGGGUCUAGUUUGAUGAUGAAGAUGAUGAUGAUGCUGCAAAAAGUAACUCUGAAAUUGAAGAUUCUAGCGCAUGAAGGAGAUUAGCUUCCACAGAAGGAAGUGUUGGUUAUUCCACUGGUUGCUGUCUUGAUAUCAUGAUAUGUGAAAGACCAUCUUGUUUAUUUUGCGGUUUGACUGUAAUAAAAGUAUACUUUGUUUGACAUUUUUAACUCGUUGAUCUUUUGUACUUGUUUAUUUCAAUCAGAAACUAUGUGUUUACAUAAGAAAAAAAAUAUAAAGGGUUUAAAGA